rnacentral:hammerhead_ribozyme from 1 species
AUCCUGCUGACGAGUCCCAAGUAGGACGAAACGCGCGUCCUGGAU